rnacentral:rRNA from 1 species
GGUUAAGCGACUAAGCGUACACGGUGGAUGCCCUGGCAGUCAGAGGCGAUGAAGGACGUGCUAAUCUGCGAUAAGCGUCGGUGAGGUGAUAUGAACCGUUAUAACCGGCGAUUUCCGAAUGGGGAAACCCAGUGUGAUUCGUCACACUAUCAUUAACUGAAUCCAUAGGUUAAUGAGGCGAACCGGGGGAACUGAAACAUCUAAGUACCCCGAGGAAAAGAAAUCAACCGAGAUUCCCCCAGUAGCGGCGAGCGAACGGGGAGGAGCCCAGAGCCUGAAUCAGUGUGUGUGUUAGUGGAAGCGUCUGGAAAGGCGUGCGAUACAGGGUGACAGCCCCGUACACAAAAAUGCACAUACUGUGAGCUCGAUGAGUAGGGCGGGACACGUGGUAUCCUGUCUGAAUAUGGGGGGACCAUCCUCCAAGGCUAAAUACUCCUGACUGACCGAUAGUGAACCAGUACCGUGAGGGAAAGGCGAAAAGAACCCCGGCGAGGGGAGUGAAAAAGAACCUGAAACCGUGUACGUACAAGCAGUGGGAGCCUCUUAAUGGGGUGACUGCGUACCUUUUGUAUAAUGGGUCAGCGACUUAUAUUCUGUAGCAAGGUUAACCGAAUAGGGGAGCCGAAGGGAAACCGAGUCUUAACUGGGCGUUAAGUUGCAGGGUAUAGACCCGAAACCCGGUGAUCUAGCCAUGGGCAGGUUGAAGGUUGGGUAACACUAACUGGAGGACCGAACCGACUAAUGUUGAAAAAUUAGCGGAUGACUUGUGGCUGGGGGUGAAAGGCCAAUCAAACCGGGAGAUAGCUGGUUCUCCCCGAAAGCUAUUUAGGUAGCGCCUCGUGAAUUCAUCUCCGGGGGUAGAGCACUGUUUCGGCAAGGGGGUCAUCCCGACUUACCAACCCGAUGCAAACUGCGAAUACCGGAGAAUGUUAUCACGGGAGACACACGGCGGGUGCUAACGUCCGUCGUGAAGAGGGAAACAACCCAGACCGCCAGCUAAGGUCCCAAAGUCAUGGUUAAGUGGGAAACGAUGUGGGAAGGCCCAGACAGCCAGGAUGUUGGCUUAGAAGCAGCCAUCAUUUAAAGAAAGCGUAAUAGCUCACUGGUCGAGUCGGCCUGCGCGGAAGAUGUAACGGGGCUAAACCAUGCACCGAAGCUGCGGCAGCGACACUAUGUGUUGUUGGGUAGGGGAGCGUUCUGUAAGCCUGUGAAGGUGUACUGUGAGGUAUGCUGGAGGUAUCAGAAGUGCGAAUGCUGACAUAAGUAACGAUAAAGCGGGUGAAAAGCCCGCUCGCCGGAAGACCAAGGGUUCCUGUCCAACGUUAAUCGGGGCAGGGUGAGUCGACCCCUAAGGCGAGGCCGAAAGGCGUAGUCGAUGGGAAACAGGUUAAUAUUCCUGUACUUGGUGUUACUGCGAAGGGGGGACGGAGAAGGCUAUGUUGGCCGGGCGACGGUUGUCCCGGUUUAAGCGUGUAGGCUGGUUUUCCAGGCAAAUCCGGAAAAUCAAGGCUGAGGCGUGAUGACGAGGCACUACGGUGCUGAAGCAACAAAUGCCCUGCUUCCAGGAAAAGCCUCUAAGCAUCAGGUAACAUCAAAUCGUACCCCAAACCGACACAGGUGGUCAGGUAGAGAAUACCAAGGCGCUUGAGAGAACUCGGGUGAAGGAACUAGGCAAAAUGGUGCCGUAACUUCGGGAGAAGGCACGCUGAUAUGUAGGUGAAGUCCCUCGCGGAUGGAGCUGAAAUCAGUCGAAGAUACCAGCUGGCUGCAACUGUUUAUUAAAAACACAGCACUGUGCAAACACGAAAGUGGACGUAUACGGUGUGACGCCUGCCCGGUGCCGGAAGGUUAAUUGAUGGGGUUAGCGGUAACGCGAAGCUCUUGAUCGAAGCCCCGGUAAACGGCGGCCGUAACUAUAACGGUCCUAAGGUAGCGAAAUUCCUUGUCGGGUAAGUUCCGACCUGCACGAAUGGCGUAAUGAUGGCCAGGCUGUCUCCACCCGAGACUCAGUGAAAUUGAACUCGCUGUGAAGAUGCAGUGUACCCGCGGCAAGACGGAAAGACCCCGUGAACCUUUACUAUAGCUUGACACUGAACAUUGAGCCUUGAUGUGUAGGAUAGGUGGGAGGCUUUGAAGUGUGGACGCCAGUCUGCAUGGAGCCGGCCUUGAAAUACCACCCUUUAAUGUUUGAUGUUCUAACGUUGGCCCCUGACCGGGGUUGCGGACAGUGUCUGGUGGGUAGUUUGACUGGGGCGGUCUCCUCCUAAAGAGUAACGGAGGAGCACGAAGGUUGGCUAAUCCUGGUCGGACAUCAGGAGGUUAGUGCAAUGGCAUAAGCCAGCUUGACUGUGAGCGUGACGGCGCGAGCAGGUGCGAAAGCAGGUCAUAGUGAUCCGGUGGUUCUGAAUGGAAGGGCCAUCGCUCAACGGAUAAAAGGUACUCCGGGGAUAACAGGCUGAUACCGCCCAAGAGUUCAUAUCGACGGCGGUGUUUGGCACCUCGAUGUCGGCUCAUCACAUCCUGGGGCUGAAGUAGGUCCCAAGGGUAUGGCUGUUCGCCAUUUAAAGUGGUACGCGAGCUGGGUUUAGAACGUCGUGAGACAGUUCGGUCCCUAUCUGCCGUGGGCGCUGGAGAACUGAGGGGGGCUGCUCCUAGUACGAGAGGACCGGAGUGGACGCAUCACUGGUGUUCGGGUUGUCAUGCCAAUGGCACUGCCCGGUAGCUAAAUGCGGAAGAGAUAAGUGCUGAAAGCAUCUAAGCACGAAACUUGCCCCGAGAUGAGUUCUCCCUGACUCCUUGAGAGUCCUGAAGGAACGUUGAAGACGACGACGUUGAUAGGCCGGGUGUGUAAGCGCAGCGAUGCGUUGAGCUAACCGGUACUAAUGAACCGUGAGGCUUAACCUU